rnacentral:rRNA from 1 species
GGUCGUAAANNUCUGUUGUUAGGGAAGAACAAGUACCAGAGUAACUGCUGGUACCUUGACGGUACCUAACCAGAAAGCCACGGCUAACUACGUGCCAGCAGCCGCGGUAAUACGUAGGUGGCAAGCGUUGUCCGGAAUUAUUGGGCGUAAAGCGCGCGCAGGUGGUUCCUUAAGUCUGAU